rnacentral:rRNA from 1 species
GGGGAGCUGCUAAGAAGCUUUUCAUCCAUAGAUUUCCGAAUGGGGCAACCCAAUACAUAGAGAUAUGUAUUACCUUUAAUGGAGCGAACCUAGCGAAGUGAAACAUCUCAGUAGCUAGAGGAAAAGAAAUCAAACGAGAUUCUCCUAGUAGCGGCGAGCGAACGGGGAAGAGGGCAAACCAGUAGCUUGCUACUGGGGUUGAGGACUGCAAUAUCCACUUGAAUAAUGUAGCAGAAGUGUUUGGAAAAACACAUCAUAGAGGGUGAUAGUCCCGUAUGCGAAAUAUUAUUCAUAGGUAGCAGGAUCCAGAGUAGGCCAGGACACGUGAAAUCCGGGCUGAAGCCGGGGAGACCACUCUCCAACCCUAAAUACUACUAUCACACCGAUAGCGAACAAGUACCGUGAGGGAAAGGUGAAAAGAACCGCAGUGAGCGGAGUGAAAUAGAACCUGAAACCAUCUGCCUACAAUCAUUCGGAGCCCUAUUGUGGGUCUCAUUAAGGAAUUAAAGGAAUAUAUAAGAAAUUCUAGCAUUGUGAGCAAGAUUUGUGGGUUGUGCAGAAAAAAUCGCGGAGACUAGACUUAGAGUCUGUCGCACAAGAUUUUUUCAAACUCCCGCAAAGAUUUCCACAAGGCGAAUUUAGCUUGAUUUCUUAGUGAGGCUCACAAGGGUGACGGACUGCCUUUUGCAUAAUGAUCCUGCGAGUUGUGGUAUCUGGCAAGGUUAAGCACACGCGAAGCCGUAGCGAAAGCGAGUCUGAAAGGCGUUUAGUCAGAUGCUGCAGACCCGAAGCCAGUGAUCUAUCCAUGGCCAAGUUGAAGCGAGUGUAUAGCUCGUGAGGACUGACUCGUACCAUUGAAACGGGUUGGAUGAGCUGUGAUAGGGGUGAAGGCAAAACCUGGUGAAGCUGUUUCUUCGAAUUAUUAGUAAGCUCAGGAUGUAUAGGGGUAGGCUUGAUGGCUAGGCUGCCACCGGUACACCCUGUCACUGCAAUCUUUACGUAUUGGGAUCAGCGGGGGUAAACACGUAGGAAACCAAUCACUAGUCCAGUCUUUAGGAAGUUGGAUCUUAACGAGUGUAAGCCCCCUUAAGAACCCUGGUUAGAUGGCAAAUGGUUAACCAGGGGUAUGAUUUUGCGCAGAAAUAUAACGGGGCUAAGAUCAGACACCGAAGUUGUAGAUUGUGCUGAUGCACAGUGGUAGAAGAGCGUUCGUAUCAGCGUUGAAGGCAUACCGGUAAGGAGUGCUGGAGCGAUGCGAAGUGAGCAUGCAGGAAUGAGUAGCGAUAAAAGUGGUGAGAAUCCACUUCGCCGAAAAUCUAAGGUUUCCUACGCGAUGCUCGUCAUCGUAGGGUUAGUCGGGUCCUAAGACAAGUCCGAAAGGGGUAGUCGAUGGAAAAUGGGUUAAUAUUCCCAUACCAACAUUAGUGUGCGAUGGGGGGACGCAUAGGGCUAAGUAGCGUUAGCUGAUGGAAGUGCUAAUUUAAAAGCGUAGAUUGAGAGAUAGGUAAAUCCGCUCUUGUAUUCGAAACUUGAAUAGCUUGUUGCGAUCUUCGGAUCAAGAUGAGUGCUACUGACGCCGUCGUGCCAAGAAAAGCCUCUAAGUUUAGCUAAUGUUGCCCGUACCGCAAACCGACACAGGUAGAUGAGAUGAGUAUUCUAAGGCGCGUGAAAGAACUCUGGUUAAGGAACUCUGCAAACUAGCACCGUAAGUUCGCAAUAAGGUGUGCCUACGCAAGUAGGUCUCAGCAAAGAGUCCCUCCCGACUGUUUACCAAAAACACAGCACUUUGCAAACUCGUAAGAGGAAGUAUAAGGUGUGACGCCUGCCCGGUGCUCGAAUGUUAAGAGGAUCCGUUAGCAGCAAUGCAAAGCGUUGAAUUGAAGCCCGAGUAAACGGCGGCCGUAACUAUAACGGUCUAAGUAGCGAAAUUCCUUGUCGGUUAAAUACCGACCUGCAUGAAUGGCGUAACGAGAUGGGAGCUGUCUCAACAGGAUCAGUGAAAUUGUAGGGAAGGUGAAAUCCUCCUACCGCGGCAGACGGAAAGAACCCGUGGACUUUACUACAGCUGACUGGCGAUGGAGCAUUAUGCCAGAUAGGUGGAGGCCUGAAUCUCCCUUGUGAAUGGACAUCGUGAAUACCCUUAGGUUUCGGUCGCUACUAGCUUGAUAGCCAAUAAACAUGCUGGGAUGACUGGGGGGCCUAAAACAGGCUCAGUGCCUCGUGAUCGGAAGUUAGUUACCCCUCUGACAUUCGGCAGC